UACGUAGGGGGCAAGCGUUGUCCGGAAUCAUUGGGCGUAAAGAGCGUGUAGGCGGUCCGGUAAGUCGGCUGUGAAAGUCCAGGGCUCAACCCUGGGAUGCCGGUCGAUACUGCCGGACUAGAGUUCGGAAGAGGCGAGUGGAAUUCCCGGUGUAGCGGUGAAAUGCGCAGAUAUCGGGAGGAACACCUAUGGCGAAGGCAGCUCGCUGGGACGUUACUGACGCUGGAGACGCGAAAGCGUUGGGGAGCAAACAGG
rnacentral:rRNA from 1 species